rnacentral:rRNA from 1 species
UACGUAGGGUGCAAGCGUUAAUCGGAAUUACUGGGCGUAAAGAGCGCGUAGGCGGCCCUGUAAGUCCGCUGUGAAAGUCAAGGGCUCAACCCUUGGAUGCCGGUGGAUACUGCAGGGCUAGAGUCCGGAAGAGGCGAGUGGAAUUCCUGGUGUAGAGGUGAAAUUCGUAGAUAUCGGGAGGAACACCAGUGGCGAAGGCGGCGACCUGGACGGACAUUGACGCUGAGACGCGAAAGCGUGGGGAGCAAACAGG